rnacentral:rRNA from 1 species
AGCAGCCGCGGUAAUUCCAGCUCCAAUAGCGUAUAUUAAAGUUGUUGCAGUUAAAAAGCUCGUAGUUGAAUUUCGGGGUCAGCAAGUUGGUCGUGCCACUGGUAUGUACUGGCUUUGCUGAUUCCUCCUUCUUGUAGAACCGUAAUGCCAUUAAGUUGGUGUUGCGGGAAAACAGGACUGUUACUUUGAAAAAAUUAGAGUGUUUAAAGCAGGCUAACGCCUGAAUACAUUAGCAUGGAAUAAUGAAAUAGGACGACGAUCCUAUUUUGUUGGUUUCUAGGAUUGACGUAAUGAUUAAUAGGGAUAGUUGGGGGCAUUAGUAUUCAAUUGUCAGAGGUGAAAUUCUUGGAUUUAUUGAAGACUAACUACUGCGAAAGCAUUUGCCAAGGAUGUUUUCAUUAAUCAAGAACGAAAGUUAGGGGAUCGAAGACGAUCAGAUACCGUCGUAGU